UCUGGCAUCCCUGACAGCAGGAGCUCCUGUGGUGUGAUUUGUUGGGAUGUUAUUAAUAAAAGUGGAUUCCAGGACAUUUUGUGAAGAAGGUAAACCUGGACCA